rnacentral:lncRNA from 1 species
GUGAAUGCAUUAGCAUUCAAGAUCCAAAAUGUACAAAGAGAAAGGGCGCUCCAAAAAAACUUUAGAAGAAGUCCUCGUUAGAAUGUAGUUCAAAUAAAGUGAAUGUAUGUUGCAUUAUUCGAGUACCAUAUUAAUUUUUUGUCUAUUUUUACCAUGUGCAAAUAAGAAUAAAGUUCGUGUUUCAAACAUUGUGUUACAAGUGGGUAGUAGUACAAACAAAGGGAAGAACCCCAAGGGCCGCCAAAGUAACCUCGGAGAUGGUGCAACUGUUUUUCAAACAACCCACCCAUCACAAUAUUCAA